GAAAAUUUAGUUAAAUCCCCCCAUAACAUUAGUUUGUCAAACUAAAAUUAUAAGUAUAUAAUUUUCU
rnacentral:tRNA from 1 species